rnacentral:rRNA from 1 species
AGCGAACGCUGGCGGCAGGCCUAACACAUGCAAGUCGAACGAACUCUUCGGAGUUAGUGGCGGACGGGGGAGUAACACGGGGGAACGUGCCUUUAGGUUCGGAAUAACUCAGGGAAACUUGUGCUAAUACCGAAUGGGCCCUUCGGGGGAAAGAUUUAUCGCCUUUAGAGCGGCCCGCGUCUGAUUAGCUGGGUGGGGAGGUAAAGGCACACCAAGGCGACGAUCAGUAGCUGGUCGGAGAGGAUGAUCAGCCAGAUUGGGACUGAGACACGGCCCAAACUCCUACGGGGGGCAGCAGUGGGGAAUCUUGCGCGAUGAGCGAAAGCCUGACGCAGCCGUGCCGCGUGAAUGGUGAAGGUCUUAGGAUUGUAAAAUUCUUUCACCGGAGACGUUAGUGACGGUACCCGGAGAAGAAGCCCCGGCUAACUACGUG